UACGAAGGGGGCUAGCGUUGUUCGGAAUUACUGGGCGUAAAGCGCACGUAGGCGGACAUUUAAGUCAGGGGUGAAAUCCCAGAGCUCAACUCUGGAACUGCCUUUGAUACUGGGGUGUCUUGAGUAUGGAAGAGGUGAGUGGAAUUCCGAGUGUAGAGGUGAAAUUCGUAGAUAUUCGGAGGAACACCAGUGGCGAAGGCGGCUCACUGGUCCAUUACUGACGCUGAGGUGCGAAAGCGUGGGGAGCAAACAGG
rnacentral:rRNA from 1 species